rnacentral:rRNA from 1 species
UCCUACGGGUGGCAGCAGUGGGGAAUUUUGGACAAUGGGCGCAAGCCUGAUCCAGCAAUGCCGCGUGCAGGAAGAAGGCCUUCGGGUUGUAAACUGCUUUUGUACGGAACGAAACGGUCUGGGUUAAUACCUCGGGCUAAUGACGGUACCGUAAGAAUAAGCACCGGCUAACUACGUGCCAGCAGCCGCGGUAAUACGUAGGGUGCAAGCGUUAAUCGGAAUUACUGGGCGUAAAGCGUGCGCAGGCGGUUUUGGAAGACAGGCGUGAAAUCCCCGGGCUCAACCUGGGAAUGGCGCUUGUGACUGCAAAGCUGGAGUGCGGCAGAGGGGGAUGGAAUUCCGCGUGUAGCAGUGAAAUGCGUAGAUAUGCGGAGGAACACCGAUGGCGAAGGCAAUCCCCUGGGCCUGCACUGACGCUCAUGCACGAAAGCGUGGGGAGCAAACAGGAUUAGAUACCCCAGUAGUCCUU